UUUUAUUUGAGAGUUUGAUCCUGGCUCAGGAUGAACGCUGGCGGCGUGCCUAACACAUGCAAGUUGAGCGAUUUACUUCGGUAAAGAGCGGCGGACGGGUGAGUAACGCGUGGGUAACCUACCCUGUACACACGGAUAACAUACCGAAAGGUAUGCUAAUACGGGAUAAUAUAUUUGAGAGGCAUCUCUUGAAUAUCAAAGGUGAGCCAGUACAGGAUGGACCCGCGUCUGAUUAGCUAGUUGGUAAGGUAACGGCUUACCAAGGCGACGAUCAGUAGCCGACCUGAGAGGGUGAUCGGCCACAUUGGAACUGAGAC
rnacentral:rRNA from 1 species